GGUUCCCCUGCAUAAGGAGGAACC
rnacentral:misc_RNA from 1 species